AGAACGAACGCUGGCGGCGUGCUUAACACAUGCAAGUCCAACGUGAAAGGGGAGCAAUCCCCCGGUAGGGUGGCAAACGGGUGAGUAAUACAUGGGUGAUCUACCUUAGGGAUGGGGAUAUCCUUCCGAAAGGAGGGGCAAUACCGAAUAUUGUCCGGAGCCGUGAAGGGUUCCGGGGAAAGGGAGGCCUCUGAUACGAAGCUUUCGCCUUAAGAUGAGCCCAUGGCCCAUCAGCUAGUUGGUAGGGUAAAGGCCUACCAAGGCUACGACGGGUCGCUGGUCUGAGAGGACGACCAGCCACACUAGGCACUGAGAUACGGGCCAGACUCCUACGGAGGCAGC
rnacentral:rRNA from 1 species